GACGAACGCUGGCGGCGUGCUUAACACAUGCAAGUCGAACGAUGAAGCUGGAGCUUGCUCUGGCGGAUUAGUGGCGAACGGGUGAGUAACACGUGAGAAAUCUGCCCUUGACUCUGGGAUAACUGCGGGAAACUGUAGCUAAUACCGGAUACUUUCCCUGGUGGGCAUCCACUGGGGAAGAAAGAAUUUCGGUCAAGGAUGAUCUCGCGGCCUAUCAGCUUGUUGGUGAGGUAAUGGCUCACCAAGGCGACGACGGGUAGCCGGCCUGAGAGGGUGCCCGGCCACACUGGGACAGCGCCACGGCCCAGACUCCUACGGGAGGCAGAAGUGGGGAAUAUUGCACCAUGGGCGCAAGCCUGAUUGAGCAACGCCGCGUGAGGGAUGAAGGCCUUCGGGUUGUAAACCUCUUUUAGCAGGGAAGAAGCGAAAGUGACGGUACCUGCAGAAAAAGCACCGGCUAACUACGUGCCAGCAGCCGCCGUAA
rnacentral:rRNA from 1 species